CGUCCACAUCCACUCCGCCUGCUCCCGGUCAAAACGGUCACGACGACUACCGUAGCUGCCGCCGCCGCCGUACGAGUCCUCCAUCUCCAGGUUCUCCUCCACCCUCGCCAACCCUCCGAGCACGCCCGCCAUCACGAGCACUGCCAGCCCCAUCCCCAUCCCCAUCUUGUUCUUCUUCUCACCACCGGCACCAACGAUGCCGGUUACGUACUCGGCGGUGGCAGCGACCUCCCCUCCCUUUCUCCUUCCACCUCUCACCCCUCCCACGUAGCCAUCGUGCGCUGGGCGCCACCGCUCCACCAACCAAGCUGUCGUGCGCUGUGCGCCGGGCACCUACCUGACCAGCAAGGCACCACCAACGCUACCGCCCGGGCGCCUACCUUCGGCCGAAUGCCAACGCCACUGCCGCCUGGAUGCCGAAUCGUGGCUGCCAAUCUCGAGCGAGGGUAGUGCGCGGUCAACGGUGAGGAGCGGUUGACAGUGGGUAAGCUUGCCAAGCCGCUGCGUGAGGCCGAACUCAACCAUCAGCGGCUUCGCGCGUGCAUCGGCCUACUCCUGUGUCUGUGACGGGUUCUAUGAGAUGAGGGACCAGUAGAGGUCCCCAAGUCAAAGGGAAAGAAGCCAAGGCAUCUCAGCCAUCUACACUACACCAACAUUCACAGCCCCGGCAGCGCCCAACACCACCACAUUCAACACUGGACUCAACGCUAACAUCAAUAGCGUACAUGAGGUGUUUGAUGGAAUGCCCAUGAGGCUCUUGCUAAAGAAUUGCAAGAUCAAGAUAUGUUGUUAGUCUUCUUUACAAAAACAAGGCUCGACUAAAUUCAGUAUCAAUGCACCUUGGAGAAAUUGUUGGUCAAUGGUCCACAGGAAAGCAGAAGGCAGGGCAAGGGUCCUAAUCUGCCGUCGUUGAUGGCGUUGCCACUCCCAGAUUGAUUAGACUGUCAAGAAAAUGUUCUCUUAGUGGUGACCAGGCAAACCACAUCCACUACUUUUGCUUCGGUUAUCAAGGCUCGUUUCAGACUACAACAGGUUAUUUGGUGAGGAUGCUAUGGAUGACUAAAAUAUGUUUGUUGAUGACACUCAAACUUAUUUUUGGGGUCCUGCAUCCGAUCCUAUAGGAACUUGUUAGGCUCUUAUGGUGCACUUGUGUGCAGACAAUCAGGCAAGAUAACAAGCAGAGGAGGAUUAGUCUGUUGGAGCUUCCUGCACUAAAUAUUGAAGUCGUUUCCACAAAGCAGCAUGUGUACAUGAGGGCUGACAACAACAAAGUAUGGAAAACACUCCCAAAAUAGAUGGAAGGUUGGAAUGCUGCAAGUAGAACAAAUGGAGGAGGCAAGUGCGGUUGGGGGCAGCAAGCUGGCAAAUCUAUCCAUAGCUUUAGCUAAAGGCAAUGUUCCAUGGCUUUGGCUAGCAAUGUUGGAUGGCUUGGACGUUGGUGCCGGAUAAAUGUGUUAAGGGAGCUGUACAUCGUUUAUAUUUACCGUUGUUGGUGGAAUUUUUUUCCCGUUGCAACGCACGGGCAUUUGCCUAGUAAUAAUAAUAAUUUUCCACCUC